rnacentral:rRNA from 1 species
AUGAACGCUGGCGGCGUGCCUCAUACAUGCAAGUCGCGCGAACAGACGAGGAGCUUGCUCCUCUGACGUUAGCGGCGGACGGGUGAGUAACACGUGGAUAACCUACCUAUAAGACUGGGAUAACUUCGGGAAACCGGAGCUAAUACCGGAUAAUAUAUUGAACCGCAUGGUUCAAUAGUGAAAGACGGUUUUGCUGUCACUUAUAGCUGGAUCCGCGCCGCAUUAGCUAGUUGGUAAGGUAACGGCUUACCAAUGCAACGAUGCGUAGCCGACCUGAGAGGGUGAUCGGCCACACUGGAACUUAGACACGGUCCAGACUCCUACGGGAGGCAGCAGUAGGGAAUCUUCCGCAAUGGGCGAAAGCCUGACGGAGCAACGCCGCGUGAGUGAUGAAGGUCUUCGGAUCGUAAAACUCUGUUAUUAGGGAAGAACAAAUGUGUAAGUAACUAUGCACGUCUUGACGGUACCUAAUCAGAAAGCCACGGCUAACUACGUG